AGUGAACGCUGGCGGUAGGCCUAACACAUGCAAGUCGAACGGCAGCACAGUAAGAGCUUGCUCUUACGGGUGGCGAGUGGCGGACGGGUGAGGAAUACAUCGGAAUCUACUUUUUCGUGGGGGAUAACGGAGGGAAACUUACGCUAAUACCGCAUACGACCUACGGGUGAAAGCAGGGGAUCUUCGGACCUUGCGCGAUUGAAUGAGCCGAUGUCGGAUUAGCUAGUUGGCGGGGUAAAGGCCCACCAAGGCGACGAUCCGUAGCUGGUCUGAGAGGAUGAUCAGCCACACUGGAACUGAGACACGGUCCAGACUCCUACGGGAAGCAGCAGUGGGGAAUAUUGGACAAUGGGCGCAAGCCUGAUCCAGCCAUACCGCGUGGGUGAAGAAGGCCUUCGGGUUGUAAAGCCCUUUUGUUGGGAAAGAAAAGCAGCAGGUUAAUACCCCGCUGUUCUGACGGUACCCACAGAAUAAGCACCGGCUAACUUCGUG
rnacentral:rRNA from 1 species